UUUAUGGAGAGUUUGAUCCUGGCUCAGGAUGAACGCUGGCGGCGUGCCUAAUACAUGCAAGUCGAGCGAACGGACGAGAAGCUUGCUUCUCUGAUGUUAGCGGCGGACGGGUGAGUAACACGUGGAUAACCUACCUAUAAGACUGGGAUAACUUCGGGAAACCGGAGCUAAUACCGGAUAAUAUUUUGAACCGCAUGGUUCAAAAGUGAAAGACGGUCUUGCUGUCACUUAUAGAUGGAUCCGCGCUGCAUUAGCUAGUUGGUAAGGUAACGGCUUACCAAG
rnacentral:rRNA from 1 species